UCCAUCCAGAAGAUUCCAGGAUUUCAUCAAUCUUGGACAUUGUAGUGACAUGGACCACUUCAGACACGUGGAACUCUACAGGACUUGGAUAGGGAGGAACAGGAUAACGGGCUUCAGGAUCCUGUUUAACAAGAACUCAGAACCUAUCAAGUUACUCUAGACAAUAGGAUGACAGAACUCAGAACCUAUCAAGUUACUCUAGACAAUAGGAUGACAGGCUUGGAGAAAUCCUUUCUGCAUUCAACCCAGCAGUGUGUUGCCAGCUGUUAAAUAUGGUGGCUCCUUCAUUCCUCCUUAAAGGACCCAUGAUAAAUUACUGAGUGAUAAUUAUCAAUACACACUCACUGAGUACAUACAGAGCUACAGAAAACCUGUGCUGAAAACCAAAACAUCCCUCCAGACAGCUCAUCACCAUGGUGCUUCUGCUUGUUGCCCUGUCUUAGGGGAAAGACUGAUUCAUCAUGUUAAUCAUGGAGUGUAAUUGCUAAUUGAAAAGACAAGCAAAGAAGGAAAAGCAUGUAGGUUUAUCUUCAGCUGUACAGGAAUGAGAAUGAAUUGCUUUUGCAUAUAAUCCCUGUGUGUGUCUUUCUCUAGCAAUCUAACCUAGUGUAGUACAUCUGAGAGCAGUGUGCUUUAAGAUUUAUGUAAUGACAGUGAAUCAUAAUUCUGACAUUAUUUUCUAUUAGUAAAAGAAAAGUGUUGUGAUGGCUUCAAAGCUCAAAUCAGGUAUUGCUGAAAAAAGUGUUUACAUCUUAAAGAUAAUAAAGAUGCCUACAGGCUG